AGAGUUUGAUCAUGGCUCAGAUUGAACGCUGGCGGCAGGCUUAACACAUGCAAGUCGAACGGUAACAGGGAGAAAGCUUGCUUUCUUUGCUGACGAGUGGCGGACGGGUGAGUAAUGCUUGGGAAUCUGGCUUAUGGAGGGGGAUAACUACGGGAAACUGUAGCUAAUACCGCGUAAUAUCUUCGGAUUAAAGGGUGGGACCGUAAGGCCACCUGCCAUAAGAUGAGCCCAAGUGGGAUUAGGUAGUUGGUGGGGUAAAGGCCUACCAAGCCGACGAUCUCUAGCUGGUCUGAGAGGAUGGCCAGCCACACUGGAACUGAGACACGGUCCAGACUCCUACGGGAGGCAGCAGUGGGGAAUAUUGCACAAUGGGGGGAACCCUGAUGCAGCCAUGCCGCGUGAAUGAAGAAGGCCUUCGGGUUGUAAAGUUCUUUCGGUGAUGAGGAAGGUGUUUGUUUUAAUAGAACAAGCAAUUGACGUUAGUCACAGAAGAAGCACCGGCUAACUCCGUGCCAGCAGCCGCGGUAAUACGGAGGGUGCGAGCGUUAAUCGGAAUGACUGGGCGUAAAGGGCACGCAGGCGGUGACUUAAGUGAGAUGUGAAAGCCCCGGGCUUAACCUGGGAAUUGCAUUUCAUACUGGGUCGCUAGAGUAUUUUAGGGAGGGGUAGAAUUCCACGUGUAGCGGUGAAAUGCGUAGAGAUGUGGAGGAAUACCGAAGGCGAAGGCAGCCCCUUGGGAAUAUACUGACGCUCAUGUGCGAAAGCGUGGGGAGCAAACAGGAUUAGAUACCCUGGUAGUCCACGCUGUAAACGCUGUCUGAUUUGGGGAUUGGGCUUAGAGCUUGGUGCCCGUAGCUAACGUGAUAAAUCGACCGCCUGGGGA
rnacentral:rRNA from 1 species